UUGGACCUGAUAUCAAACAAGAC
rnacentral:rRNA from 1 species